CAACGAAAGGGAAAAUGAGAAAAAUAUACUUCUAUCGUUUUUUUAUAAAAAUUACUUAUAUCUUAAUAAUCUGAAUAUAUCUUAUUAUUAUAUUAAUUUUUUUUGAUCAUUUUCUAAAUCAUCAUUUCAAGUGAUGAAACAACGUGAAUAUUUAUGGGAAUUUUGCAAAAUCUGUUAUAUUUUGCUUUCAAUCUUAUAAUUUCUGCCAUAUUCUAACUCAGCUUACAAAAUCUACCACAUUUUAUCACAUGUUGCAAUUCGAGGACGAAAAUACUCUUACGAUGGGACAGAGACUCUGACUUAGAUGGUGACAUGACAGCUUUUGGCUGAUGUGAUGAUACAUGACGAAAAAUCAGAGUAGAAACAUAAAGGAUUAGGAGACAGAAUAGUGGAGAACAGCUGGCUUCUACUGUUGUUAUUGGAUAUUUAAAAAUGACUUGUUUAAACAAAUUGGUUAUCGAAAUUCUGCGGGGGACAACGUAAUAUAUAAUACAUUAGGAGACAUAAUUACCAGCUAGCGGGGGACAACGUAAUAUAUAAUGCAUUAGGGACAUGAUUACCUGUUAGCGGAGGACAACGUAAUAUAUAAUGCAUUAAGGGACAUGAUUACCUGUUAGAGGAGGACAAUUGGUGACAGACUUUUGUUUUUGUCUUUAGAUCUUGUCUCCGAAUAGAAAUUCUCUGUUGCGUUGACAUUUUGUCCUCGAUUUCAUUAUUUUGCUCUAUUAUUAUGAAUCGUACCUCUUAUAUGCAAUUAUUUUCAUUUAAGAAUUUUGAAUUUUAUUUAGUAUUGUGAAAUAUGAAGACAAUAAUGCUCAACUAAUCUGUAGACCAAAAUAUAUGGUGAAAAAUCUAAAUAAAUUUUGAAAUCCUUAAAUGAUAAUAAUUGGUGGAUAAGAUGUGAGAUUCAUGAUAAUUUUGAAAGAUGAUGAAAUCAGGGACAAGAUCUAGAUACAACAGAUAAUUUAUGAUGAAUAAAAUUGGGAGACAAAUUUAAUUGAAAGUUACAUGUAGAGAAUCUGUGCAGGUUGUCACGGGAAAUGAUAGAGAGACAAAAACGUUUCGUUUUGUCUUCGAGAAGAUAAUGAUGUAUGGUUAAAGCACACAUAUUUCAAAGAAAAAGAGAUAAAAUAGAGAAGAAAUAGUAAGGGUAAAAUUGAUAUUUCGUUAUGAAAUAUGGUAUGAUGUGUAAGGGAGGUAGAUUAUGGUAGAUUGCAUAAAGAUUUUAGAAAUUAUGGUAAAUUUUAUAAUUUUUCCAAUAUUGAUAGCCUUGAGAUCGUAACAACUGAUGACAUGUAUUAUUUUAAUAAUAAAUUAUGGUUGG
rnacentral:sRNA from 1 species